AGGGUUUAUGUUGCUGAAUCUCUUAUUUCCAGUGCUGGAGAAGGACUUUUUUCAAAGGUAGCUGUGGGACCUAAUACUGUUAUGUCUUUUUAUAAUGGAGUUCGAAUUACACACCAAGAGGUUGACAGCAGGGACUGGGCCCUUAAUGGGAACACCCUCUCCCUUGAUGAAGAAACGGUCAUUGAUGUGCCUGAGCCCUAUAACCACGUAUCCAAGUACUGUGCCUCCUUGGGACACAAGGCAAAUCACUCCUUCACUCCAAACUGCAUCUACGAUAUUGGCCAGAAGAAUCACCUGGGAAUGUGUAAAAGAAGCAGAUUUGGGGCUCCACUCCCAAAGAUCCCACAUCUGGAUCAAGCGCCCUGGGUAGAACACAGAAAAGCUGGCAUUCCUCUUUACAGUGCAGCCCAAGGGCUAAUGCUCAUAAUGAUGUUCGUGAGUAAUUAAGAAAAGAUAAAAGCGAAUGGAAUGUACUCUGCCUAAUGAUAAUGGCAAUUGUCAGAACAUAGGCUUCCCUCAAGAACUCAAAAUCGCACUCUGGGAGCCAUUUUAAGAUCUGAAAAGAGAUACCUAAUAAGUUGUGCCAGAGAAAUCAAUAAGUAAAGUCACCAGAGGGGGGAAAAAGACCCUCAAACCAGCAGGACUUGAUUAGAUAAAAUAUCUUUUAAAACAAUCAGGAUAUUUGGAAUUUUCUUCAGGCUAAUAUGGGAG
rnacentral:sRNA from 1 species